UCAGGAGUUUAAAUGUAGGGGGUACCUAUCCCUCUAGGCCCCUGCUAGUGUCCUGUGCCAGUACAUAUUGUACCCUGGGCAUUUUCACCUGGCCUGAGCCUGUGAGCUGCUAGCAUUGAAGUAGGUUUUACAGUG
rnacentral:snoRNA from 1 species